rnacentral:rRNA from 1 species
GACGAACGCUGGCGGCGGGCUUAACACAUGCAAGUCGAACGGAAAGGCCCUGCUUUUGUGGGGUUCUCGAUUGGCGAACGGGGGAGUAACACGUGAGUAACCUGCCCUUGACUUUGGGGUAACUUCAGGAAACUGGGGCUAAUACCGGAUAGGAGCUCCUGCUGCAUGGUGGGGGUUGGAAAUUUUCGGCUGUUGGGGAUGGACUCGCGGCUUAUCAGCUUGUUGGUUGGGUAGUGGCUUACCAAGGCUUUGACGGGUAGCCGGCCUGAGAGGGUGACCGGCCACAUUGGGCCUGAGAUACGGCCCAGACUCCUACGGGAGGCAGCAGUGGGGAAUAUUGCACAAUGGGCGGACGUCUGAUGAAGAAACGCCGCGUGCGGGAUGACGGCCUUCGGGUUGUAAACCGCUUUAGCCUGUGACGAAGCGUGAGUGACGGUAAUGGGUAAAGAAGCACCGGCUAACUACGUG